rnacentral:rRNA from 1 species
UGCCGCGUGAGUGAAGAAGGCCUUCGGGUUGUAAAGCUCUUUUCGGCCGGGAAGAAAUCGCAUGGGUCAAUACCCUGUGUGGAUGACGGUACCGGAAUAAGAAGCACCGGCUAACUACGUGCCAGCAGCCGCGGUAAUACGUAGGGUGCAAGCGUUAAUCGGGAAUUACUGGGCGUAAAGCGUGCGCAGGCGGACUUUUAAGCCAGAUGUGAAAGCCCCGAGCUUAACUUGGGAAUUGCGUUUGGAACUGGGGAGUCUAGAGUCUGUCAGGAGGGGAUGGAAUUCCACGUGUAGCAGUGAAAUGCGUAGAGAUGUGGAGGAACACCGAUGGCGAAGGCAGUCCCCUGGGAUAAGACUGACGCUCAUGCACGAAAGCGUGGGGAGCAAACAGGAUUAGAUACCCUGGUAGUCCACGCCCUAAACGAUGUCUACUAGUUGUUGGGGUAGCAAUACCUCAGUGACGCAGCUAACGCGUGAAGUAGACCGCCUGGGGAGUACGGUCGCAAGAUUAAAACUCAAAGGAAUUGACGGGGGC